rnacentral:rRNA from 1 species
GACGAACGCUGGCGGCGUGCCUAACACAUGCAAGUCGUGCGGACGGACGCUUAGGUUGCUUCUCUGAUGUCAACGGCGGGAGGGAGAGUAACAUGUCGAUACCCUACCUAUAAGACUGGGAUAACUUCGGGAAACCGGUGCUAAAUCCGGGUAAUUUCUUCAUCCGCGUGGUUCAAAAGCGAAAGACGGUCUUGCUGGCACUUAUAGCUGUAUCCGCGGUGCAUGAGCUAUUGGCUAGGUAACGGCUUACCGAGGCAGCGAUGGAUAGCCGACCUGGGCGGGUGUACGGCGCCACUGGGGGUGAGAGGCGGUCCAGACACCUACGGGAGGCCGCAGUAGGGAAUCGUGGGAGAUGGGCGGAAUCCUGCAGGAGGAGCGCAGCGUGAGUGAUGAAGGUCUGCGGGUCGGAAGACUCUGUUAGUGGGGAAGACCGUAUGUGGAAGGAACUGUGCACAUCGUGACGGUACCUGAACAGAAAGCACCGGCUAACUACGUG